rnacentral:rRNA from 1 species
AUUGAACGCUGGCGGCAUGCCUUACACAUGCAAGUCGAACGGCAGCGGACCUUCGGGUGCCGGCGAGUGGCGAACGGGUGAGUAAUAUAUCGGAACGUACCUUUCAGUGGGGGAUAACGUAGCGAAAGUUACGCUAAUACCGCAUAUUCUGUGAGCAGGAAAGCAGGGGAUCGCAAGACCUUGCGCUGAUUGAGCGGCCGAUAUCAGAUUAGCUAGUUGGUGAGGUAAAGGCUCACCAAGGCGACGAUCUGUAGCGGGUCUGAGAGGAUGAUCCGCCACACUGGAACUGAGACACGGUCCAGACUCCUACGGGAGGCAGCAGUGGGGAAUUUUGGACAAUGGGGGCAACCCUGAUCCAGCAAUGCCGCGUGUGUGAUGAAGGCCUCGGUUGUAAGC